rnacentral:rRNA from 1 species
AAUUUUGGACAAUGGGGAAACCCCUGAUCAGGCCACCCCGGGGGAAGAAGAAAGGCCUUGGGGUGGAAAGGUCUUUUGGGCAAGGAAGAAAGGUUACUCCUAAUUAGAGAUACCUCUGGCGGUUUCCGCAGAAUAAGCCACUGCUAACUACGUUCCAGCAGCCGCGGUAAUACGUAGGGUGCAAGCGUUAAUCGGAAUUACUGGGCGUAAAGCGUGUGUAGGCGGUUCGGAAAGAAAGAUGUGAAAUCCCAGGGCUCAACCUUGGAACUGCAUUUUUAACUGCCGAGCUAGAGUAUGUCAGAGGGGGGUAGAAUUCCACGUGUAGCAGUGAAAUGCGUAGAUAUGUGGAGGAAUACCGAUGGCGAAGGCAACCCCCUGGGAUAAUACUGACGUUCAGACACGAAAGCGUGGGGAGCAAACA